rnacentral:lncRNA from 1 species
GCUUAUGUUUGGAGGUAAUAAUUCUCACCCUUCAUUUUAUUGAGUGAGUCCAAGUUAUAGCUAUGCUAUAUAAGCAAGAAUACGAAUAGACGGCUGGAAAAAUCGUAUUUGGAUAGUUACGUGAUGUUGGGCUGUUUUGAAGUAUUUUCUGAUAUUGUUGUUGCUGGAAUUUUUUUGGAAAUGCUUUGUAUGUGUGUGGUUCUUGUUGAUAUGAGUCUCGAAGAGAAGAAGAAGUAUAGAUGGA